UUCACAGCCAUACCACCCUGAGAUGCUCUGAUUUGGGAAGUUGAGCAGGGUUGAACCUGGUUAGUACUGGGACGGAAGACAAGAUGUGAAUGAACGGGUACUGGUGAGA
rnacentral:rRNA from 14 species